rnacentral:rRNA from 1 species
AUGCACCAAACAUCAUGUCUAGAUACCCCUGCUCAGAAUGGUGUUGCAGAAAGGAAAAACCGACACAUUUUAGAAGUGGCUCGAUCACUUAUGUUCACCAUGAAUGUGCCAAAAUUCUUGUGGAGUGAAGCUGUCAUGACUGCAACGUUCCUGAUCAACCGGAUGCCUUCAAAAAUGCUUGGUAUGAAGUCCCCAUGUGAGAUGCUAUUUGGGGAGAACAAAUUCUCAGUUCCUCCGAAGUUAUUUGGGUGCACCUGCUUCGUUAGAGAUCACAGACCAGCAGUGGGAAAGCUGGAUCCACGAGCUGUAAAAUGCAUAUUUGUUGGAUAUCCUGCAGGGCAGCGAGGCUAUAAGUGUUGGAGUCCUGCUGAAAGGCGCACAUUUGUAAGUAUGGAUGUCACCUUUCGAGAAUCUGAGCCUUUCUAUGGUGAGAAGACAGAUCUCAGCACUUUAUUCGAAGAACUUGACCACUCACAAUCUAUGCAGGGUGGUCAAGAGGGGGAGUGCAACUUGAGUGGUGAGUGCAGCACCAAUGGCGACAAGGAGCAGCCAAUACCAACCCCGAAAAUAGUGGGAUCCUUCAUUCCAGUUGUAGUUGAUGGGGCUGAACAGCAGAGGUGGCAGAGACCAAAUGAGGAAAGGAAUCCUCAGGUGUAUACAAGAAGGAAGAGAGGUGUGGAGGAACAAGUACAUGAGGAGCAGUCAAAAGAAACUAUGGAACAGGGGGAGCAGUCAGAAGAAACUCAAGCGACAGGAAGCUCAUCUGAAGUGGAGUCAUAUGAAAAUUCAAGUACUGAAGAAGCAUCACCUAACCUGCCAAUUGCUCUCAAGAAGGAAGUAGCAAGGAAAACUUUGAGCAAGGGCAAUCUUGAGCAUGACAUCAGUAAUUAUGUCACCUAUGAAGCCCUAUCACCUUCAUUUAGAGCAUUUGUCGCAUCACUUCAAGCCGUGAUUGUUCCUAAAGACUGGAAAGAAGCAAGACAAGAUCCAAAGUGGUGUGAAGCCAUGAGGGAAGAGUUGGAGGCCCUGAGAAAGAACAAAACAUGGGAGCUAGCAAAUCUUCCAUAUGGGAAGAAGGCAGUCAGUUGUAAGUGGAUCUUCACAGUGAAGCAGAAUCCUGAGGGUAAGGUUGAGCGUUACAAGGCAAGACUGGUAGCCAGAGGGUACAGCCAAACGUAUGGUAUUGAUUAUGACGAAACAUUCGCCCCAGUUGCAAAGAUGAAUACAAUGAGGAUUCUAAUCUCAUGUGCAGCUAACUUUGGAUGGCCACUACACCAACUUGAUGUAAAAAAUGCCUUUUUACAUGGAGAUCUACAAGAGGAAGUCUACAUGGAAAUUCCUCCUGGACUUUCUACACCUGGGACUGUUGGGAAGGUUUGUAGAUUGAGAAAAUCUCUUUAUGGUUUGAAGCAAUCGCCAAGGGCUUGGUUUGACCGGUUCAGGCAAGCAGUUUGCAGUAUGGAGUAUAAACAAUGCAAUGGAGAUCACACUGUUUUCUAUAAACAUUCCAAGCAACAGAUUACUAUUCUUGCAGUAUAUGUGGAUGACAUCAUAAUAAUGGGAGACAAUGAAGAGGAGAUUGGAAGACUAAAGAAAUGCCUAGGCAAAGCAUUUGAAGUUAAGGAUCUUGGUCAGCUAAAAUAUUUCCUGGGUAUCGAAGUUGCAAGAUCAAAGAAGGGAAUAGCCCUGUCUCAGCGGAAGUAUACCUUAGAGCUCCUAAGUGAUAUGGGAAUGCUUGGAUGUAGAGCAGCCCCAACUCCCAUUGAACAAAAUCACAAAUUGACAACACAGAUGGGUGAACAAGUUAACAAAGCAAAAUAUCAACAAUUGGUUGGCAAACUUCUGUACUUGUGUCACACUAGACCAGAUAUUACAUAUGCAGUAAGUGUAGUAAGUAGAUAUAUGCAUGACCCCAGAAGUGGACACCUUGAUGCAGUCUAUAGAAUCAUGAGGUAUCUAAAGGGCAGCCCUGGUAUGGGACUCUGGUUCAAGAGUAAUGGCCAUUUGAAUGUUGACGGUUAUAGCGAUGCUGAUUGGGCUAGCUGUCUUGAUGAUAGACGAUCAACCUCUGGCUAUUGUGUGUUUGUUGGUGGAAAUUUGGUAUCAUGGAGAAGCAAAAAACAACCGGUGGUGUCAAAAUCAACUGCAGAAGCUGAGUAUAGGGCAAUGUCUCAAGGGCUGAGUGAGAUGUUAUGGGUAAAGAGGCCUUCUGCUUGA